rnacentral:rRNA from 2 species
AUGAAGGCCUUCGGGUUGUAAAGCUCUUUUACUGGGGAAGAUAAUGACGGUACCCGUAGAAUAAGCCCCGGCUAACUUCGUGCCAACAGCCGCGGUAAUACUAAGGGGGCUAGCGUUGUUCGGAAUUACUGGGCGUAAAGCGCACGUAAGCGGAUGGUUAAGUCAGGGGUGAAAUCCCGGGGCUCAACCUGGGAACUGCCUUUGAUACUGGACCUCUUGAGUGCGGAAGAGGUGGGUGGAAUUCCGAGUGUAAAGGUGAAAUUCAUAUAUAUUCGGAGGAACACCAUUGGCGAAGGCGGCUCACUGGUCCGGUACUGACGCUGAGGUGCUAAAGCGUGGGGAGCAAACAGGAUUAAAUACCCUGGUAGUCCACGCCAUAAACUAUGAAGGCUAUCCGUUGGCUAGUUUACUUGUCGUGGGCGCAGCUAACGCAUUAAUCUUCCCGCCUGGGGAGUACGGUCGCAAGAUUAAAACUCGA